rnacentral:lncRNA from 1 species
CAACAAAAUCUGACAUUAUUUUUUAAUUAUUAAUCAUCUAGCCCACCAACCUUUAACUUUGGAGUAUAACUAAGUAGCCUGAUCAGUUAGACCAACUAGUGAGUUUUUAAACUGUCAUUGCACUACUCCACUCUGUAUAUUAAACCUUAUUUUCUUCUAAAACCUUAGAUCCACUCUUAUCACAACAUUCUCAGUGAAGAUCUGAUCACUAGCAUUUUCAAAGUUCCUUCUUUUUCUUCCCUUCUUAUCAUUUCUGUUUUCUUGAUUUCUCAAGAAAAAACAAUCCAUUUUUUCAUCAUCCUCUUCUUCAAUGGAGAAAGUACAUUUCAGAACUGAAGUCCUCAGCAGACACCUAAGUCAAGAAACUCCAAUACUCAAUCCAAUGCUCCAAUCAUUCCCAUGUCUUAGCUAUAACCCACCUGAGCUUUCAGAACCAUCUUCUGUUUUUGACAUAAAAGAGAUGAGAAAGCUAAUGGAUGGUCACAAUUUUGAUGAAAGGGACUGGCUUUUUGGUCUGAUGUUACAGAGUAAGCUUUUUAACCCAAUAAAAAAGGGUGGAAAAGUGUUUGUUUCCCCUGAUUACAGUCAAUCUAAGGAACAACAAAGGGAAAUUACCAUGAGGAGGAUUGAGUACCUUGUGGAACAUGGGGGUAUCAAGGAAUGGCUUACUGGUAAAGGGUCUGAAAAUGAAUUGAGGAACUUAGCUCGUGCGGAGUGUGUUAGCAUCUUUGAUUAUUCACUUGGCAUCAAGCUUGGAGUCCAUUUGUUCCUAUGGUAUGUUUUUGUUCAUUAUAUGCCUAUUCUUUUAUAUCCGGAGCUUAGUGGCCGGACAAAUUCGAUACCUAUCAGGUAGGUCCCCCUAAGGGAGAAGUUAUCCAUUUCGAGGCUUAAACCCGAGACCUAUGGUUAAGAUAGGGACAUAGGGUUAAGCGUGGAGCCCACUAAGACAUAAAUUUUUCUUUCCCAAGAGUUAGGUCAAGGGUUAGACCUCUAGUUAAGUUCUUCAUUUCCAAGACUUAGUAGAAUCCGACUCCUGUGUUUAAGAGGUGGGAGAUUCCAAGGCUGUAUAAACCCCACAUUAAAUUAUAUUGCAAUACCAAUACCUUGCAAUGGACCACAACAAACCACCAAGCUUAGCAUCCGUCGUUCUAGACGGCUCCACAGUCGGCAGCUUUCACUAGGUAGGUCAGGGCACAGAGGGUGUUUGGUGGAUUUGAUAUCAUUAGUACAAUCCAGAGAGAAUCAUACUUCAAAAGCUAGCUAUUGAGGUGUGGGUAUCCAAGGCUAUAUAAAUCCCACAUCAGCAUAUCGCAAUACGGAUACCGAUGUGGGACUCAAGUUCCAUGCCUUGUAAUGGACCAUACCAUGUUCUCCAUUCCCAAGGCUUAAACCUGAGACCUUGGUUAAAUGUGGAGCCUACUAAGAGAGAAAUUCAUUUUACCACAUCUAUUGGUUGUUCUUUUUCUUGUUUGUUAGAUACAAUUUUAGUAAUCUCUUGCUUAUUACUUACUACAACAACAACAUACCCAAUGUAUUCCCACCUAGUGGGGUGUGGGGAGGGUAGAGUGUACGCAGACCAUACAACUACCUCAAGAGAAGUAGAAAGGCAUAUAAACUAGUGUGGUACACAAAACAAACUAACAGUAUAACAAACACAAAAGAUAAGCGCAUAAUAAACUAGUACGGGAUGCAAAAAAGCCAACACCACUAGCCCCAAAAACUACAGCCACAAACACUACAGACCAGAAACUUCAGACCCAAAUGAGCACUCCCCUAUUACUACCGCCGCACUCCCACCCCCUAACCCUCUACCCUAAUCCGCGUCCUCCACACCUUUCUAUCAAGGAUCAUGUCCUCUGUAAGCUGUAAUUGCUCCAUAUCAUGCCUAAUCACCUCCCUUCAAUAUUUUUUCGGUCUACCUCUAGCCCGCCUAAAACCAUCCAUAGCUAGAGUCUCACACCUCCGCACUGGAGCAUUAGGGCCCCUUCUCAUCACAUGCCCGAACCAACGUAGCCUCACUUCUCGCAACUUAUCCUCCACCGAGGCAACUCCCACCUUACUUAAUGUUCAAAUUAGGUAAAUAAAGCUGGUUCUGUCCUUGAUAUACAAUUUAAGGAAAACGUGUUCCUCUUUCAUCAAUCGUAUUAGUUUUACAAUUGAAUAACUUAUUUCCUAACUCACUAUCAAACAUUGUAUAACUUAUACAAAAAUUCAUACAUAUAUAAGUUGCUUCUUUACUAGCUACCAAACGAACCCUGAAUAUUUUUGUUGUGAAUUAAAUAUGAGAUAAAUUAAUCUGACAUUUUUAAAAAUUAUAUGUCACCUAGCCCACCAACCUUAACUUUGGAGUAUAGCUAAUAACAUUUCUGUUUUCUUGAUUUCCCAUACAAAAUCAAUCCAAUUUUUCAUCCUCUUCUCUUUUCUUGGUGGUCUGAAUUAUAAUACACCAUUUCCUCUUAACUUAUACAUAUAUUAGCUGUACAAGUUUCUAAAUUGCAAAACCUAACGUCAUAUUAGUUUAAACAUGAGAAAUUUAUUUCCUAUUUUGAGCUAGUGAAGUGCAUCAAGGAGGAGGAUGAUACAGUAUUGGUUGAGGAUGUCCUCAUUAGGAAGAGGUGGCAGUCCUAUUUUCAUAAACUUUUGAACGAUGAGGGGAACAAAGGUUUCGUGCUGGGGGACUUGGAGAAUUCUGAGAGGUGUCGCGAUAAUGGUUAUUGUAGGCGUACCAAGGUUGAGGAGGUCAAGGGGGGCUAUUCGCAGGAUGCGUAGGGGGAGGGUGACUGAGCCAGACAAGAUUCCGGUGGAUUUUUGGAAGAGCACUGGCGGGAAAGGUUUGGAGUGGUUGAUAAGGUCGCGUUUAACAUCAUUUUCUGGGCGGCGAAGGUGUCCAAGUGUGGAGGUGGAGUACAAUGAUUCCAUUAUAUAAUAACAAGGGGGACAUCCAGAGUUGCAACAACUAUAGGGGUAUCAAGUUGUUGAGUCCUACUAUAAAGAUUUGAGAAAGGGUGGUAGAGUUGAGGCUGAUGAGGGUUGUGACUGUCUCUGAGAAUCAGUUCGGUUUCAUGUCAGGUCGCUCGACUACUGAGGCCAUUCACCUUAUGAGAAGAUUAGUGGAGCAGUUUCGGGAGAGGAAGAAGGACUUGCACAUGGUGUUCAUUGAUCUUGAGAAGCAUAUGACAGAGUUCCCAGGGAGAUUUUAUGGAGGUGCUUGGAGGCUAGAGGGGUGCCUGUGGCGGACACUAGGUCGAUUCAGGUAAUGUAUGAUGGCGCGAAGACUCGCGUGAGAAUGGUAGGUGGAGAUUCGGAGCACUUUCCGAUUUUGAUAGGGUUGCACUACGGAUCGACUCUUAGCCCAUUUUUAUUUUCUUUGGUGAUGGAUGUUUUGACGCGACGUAUUCAAAGGGAGGUGCCUUGGUGUAUGUUAUUUGCUGAUGAUGUGGUUUUGAUUGACGAGACUCGGGGAGAAGUUAAUGAUAAGUUGGAGAUUUGGAGAUAGACCCUUGAAUCUAAAGGAUUUCGGUUGAGCAGGACCAAGACGGAGUAAUUGGAAUGUAAGUUUAGUGAUGUUUCGCAGGAGGUUGACAUGGUAGUGAAACUAGAUUCUCAGGCUAUUCAGAAAAGGGAGAGUUUCAAGUAUCUGGGGUCGAUGAUUCAAGGGAUUGGUGAGAUUGACAAGGAUGUCACACUCCAUAUUGGUGCAAGGUGGUUGAAAUAGAGACUUGCUUCGGGAGUUUUAUGUGAUAAGAAGGUGCCUCCAAAGCUGAAAGGUAAGUUCUACAGAGUGACAGUCAGACUGGCUCUAUUGUAUGGAGUGGAGUGUUGGCCAGUUAAGAACUUCCGCAUUCAAAUGUUAAAGGUGGCGGAGAUGAGGAUGUUGCGAUGGAUGCGUCCCCUUAUCGGGAAAGAUAGGGUGAGGAAUGAGAUUAUUCGGGAGAAGGCGAGAGUGACUUCGGUAGAGGACAAGAUAAGAGACGUGUGGUUACGUUAGUUCGGGCACGUGAUGAGGAGGGACUUGGAUGCUCCAAUACGGAGAUGUGAGACAUUGGCUAUAGAUGGUUUUAGGCGGGGUAAAGAUACUGGAGGGAGGUGAUUAGGCAUGAUAUGGAGCAGUUACAGCUUACGGAGGACAUGACCCUUGAUAGGAAGGUGUAGAAAACGCGGAUUAGGGUAGAGGUUUAGGGGGUGCGAUUGUGUUGGUAGUAGUAGGGGAGAGUACUUUGUUUGUGUCUGGAAUUUCUUGUUCGUGGUGUUUGAGUGACGUCUAUGAUUUCGAAUAGAUAAUUUAUAGUAUUAUCUUAUGGUUGAAGGGGAGCCUUGGAGUAACCGGUAAAGUUGCUGUCAUGUGAUCAGGAGGUCACGGGUUCAAGCCUUGGAAACAGCCUCUGGCAGAAAUGUAAGGUAAGACUGUGUGCGAUACACCCUUGUGGUGGGGCCCUUCCCUGGACACUGCACUAGUUAGUGCACCGGGCUGCCCCAUUUUAGUAUUAUCUUAUUGUUGUAUUGUUUCCUGUAUUAGCUAGUAGUGUUAGUUUAUUUUGUAUAUUGCAUUAGUUUAUAUGCAUUUAUGUUUUGUGUUUGUUAUACUGUUGUCGGUCCUGAGUCGGGGGUCUAUCGGAAACAGUCUCUCUAUUUCACCUAAGGUAGUGGUAUGGUCUGCGUAUACUCUACCCUCUCUACCCUCCCCAGACCCCUCUAUGUGGGAAUACACUAAGUAUGUUGUUGUUGUAGCUACCAAACAUUGUAUAACUUAUACAAAAAUUAAUACAUGAAUAAGUUGCUGCUCUACUAGCUACCAAACGACCCUAGAAUGUUUAUUAUUGUUGUUGUGAAUUAAAUAUGAGAUAAAAUGAUCUGAGAUUCUUUUUUAAUUAUUAGUCACCUAGCCCACCAACCUUAACUUUGGAGUAUAGCUAAGCAGCCAGAUCAGCAGGGCUGUGCAAAAAUCGAACCGAUCGAUAAAAAUGUUAUUGGGUUAUUGGUAUUGGGUUAUCGGGUUAACUGUUUUUUAUUGGUUUUAUAAAAAAAUUUAUUGGGUAAACGGUUCAGUAUCGGUUGUAGCUUAUUGACCGAUAACCCAAUAAGGAUACACUUAGUUAUUGUUUUAUCCCUAUUUAUGUUAUAUAUUUAAAUAUCUCUCUCUCUUUAUCUAUCUAUAUAGAUUAUAUGCACUACUAAUUCAUAAUUCAGUGAUUCACAAAGUAUUAACCUAUUCAGAGCAACAAAGACACAAUAUAAAGUUCGGCUAUUAUCGUAAUAAAAAGCUUGAAGCAUUUAUAACUUCCAACAAUUAGGAUUCAAUUUUUUUCCUAACUAACAUUCAAUUCAAGUUUGAAGAUUCCAUUGCGUAGGUUUUGGCGGUAAUUAAGAUUUUAUUUUUUUAUGUUAGUUGUUACUAUUGUUAUUUUAUAAGUAUUUUCUUAUUGGUUAAAUUGAAAACCGAACCAUUAAGGACCAAAAACUGAUAAACCGAAACCGAUAAGAAAAUAUCUUAUUGGUUGGUUAUUGGUUUUACAUAUUUAAAAACCGAAAACCGAACCAAUAACACUUAAAACCUAACCGAACCGACCGAAGCCCACCCCUACAGAUCAGUUAGAUCAACUAGUGAGUUUUCACACUGUCGCCAUGUCACCACGCUACACUGAAUUUGAACCUAUACGAAAAAUGCUAUAAGUUGCAAACCAAACGUCGUAUUGGUUUUACACAGGAAUAGCUUAUUUCCUAACUAACUACCAAACAUUGUAUUAACACAAAAGUUACUUCCUGAAUAAGUUGCUUCUUUAGGUGCUACCAAACGACUCCUAAAUGUUUAUUAUUGUUCUUAUGAAUUAAGCAUGUGACAAAAGAAUCUGACAUUCUUUUUUAAUUAUUAAUCACCUUGCCCACCAACCUGAGCUUUGGAGUAUAGCUAAGCAGCCAGAUCAGUUAGACCAAAUAGUGAGUUUUUAAACUUUCAUUCCACCACUCUACAUUGUAUAUUAAACCUUAUUUUCUUCAAAAACCUUAGAUAUUCUUCUUUAAUUAUUAAUCACCUAGCCCACCAACCUGAACUUUGGAGUAUAGCUAAGCAGCCAGAUCAGUUAGACUAAAUAGUGAGUUUUCAAACUGUCAUUUUACCACUCUACACUGUAUAUUAAACCUUAUUUUCUUCUAAAACCUUAGAUAUUCUUCUUUAAUUAUUAAUCACCUAGCCGCCAACACCAACCUGAACUUUGGAGUAUAGCUAAGCAGCCAGAUUAGUUAAGACCAACUAGUGAGUUUUUAAACUGUCAUUUAACCACUCUUCACUAUAUAUUAAACCUUAUUUUCUUCUAAAACCUUAAAUCCAUUCUAUCACAACAUUCUGAUUGAAGAUCCAAUCACUAACAUUUUCAAAGUUCCUUCCUUUUUUCCCCCUCUUAUCAUUACUGUUUUCUUGAUAUCUCAUGGAAAAUCACUCCAUUUUUUCAUCAUCCUCUUCUUCAAUGGAGAAAGUACAUUUUAGAACUAAAGUCCUCAGCAGACACCUAAAUCAAGAAACUCCCAUACUCAAUGCAAUGCACCAAUCAUUCCCAUGUCUUAGCUACAACCCACCUGAGCUUUCAGAACCAUCUUCUGUUUUUGACAUAAAAGAGAUGAGAAAGCUCAUGGAUGGGCACAAUUUGGAGGAAAGGGACUGGUGUUUUGGUUUGAUGUUAAAGAGUAAGCUUUUUAACCCAAUAAAAAGGGGUGGAAAAGUGUUUGUUUCCCCUGAUUACAAUCAAUCUAAGGAACAACAAAGGGAAAUUACCAUGAGGAGGAUUGAGUACCUUGUGGAACAUGGGAGUAUUGAGAAAUGGUUUACCGGUAAAGGGCCUGAAAAUGAAUUGAGGAACUUUGCUCGCGGAGAGUGUGCUAGUAUCUUUGAUCAUUCACUUGGCAUCAAGCUUGGAGUCCAUUUGUUCCUAUGGUAUGUUUUUGUCCAUUAUAUGCCUAUUUUUUAAUAUCCGGAGGUUAGUGGCCGGACAAAUUCGAUACCUAUCCGGUAGGUCCCACCCAAGGGAGAAGUUACCCAUUUCGAGGCUUAAAACCCGAGAUCUAUGGUUAAGGUAGAGGCAUCGGAUUAAGCGUGCAGCCCACUAAUAGAUAAAUUCAUCAUUCCCAAGAGUUGAACCCUUGACCUAUGGUUAAGGGUUAGACCUCUAGUUAAGAAGUUUUUCAUUUCCAAAACUUAGUAGAACCCGACUCAUGUAUUUAUUCUUCAUUCCCAAGAGUUGAACCCCUGAUUAAGGAUUAGACCUCCAGUUAAGAAGUUCCUCAUUUCCCAGACUUAGUAAAACCCGACUCACGUGGUUAAGUGUAAGACCUUUGGUUAAGUGUGAAGGGAUCAUAUCCACCACCACACCUCUUGGUGGUUUGAAUGAUAAAUUGCUAUAUUGGUUGUUGUUCUUGUUUGUUUUUCACUCAAAUUAGUUGGGAUCAGAUAUAUGAAUCGACUUUGUCUAUUUCAGAGAACUCAGAGUUCCGCUUUUUCUAUGGUUGUCAAAAGAUAUAAUUUUUGCAUAGGAUUAAGAAAAAUCCAAGUAGACAUUAAAUUUUCCUAUACGGACAUUCUUGAUUGCUUGAUUGAUUGGUUAAAGAAAGCUUACUUGGCAACUUUUGACCACCACCACCACCAAUAACUUACCCAGUGUAGUCCUCAUUGGGGUCUGUGGAGGGUACAAUGUACAUAAACCUUACCCCUACCUUUGUGGGGCAGAUAGUUUGUCUCCGAUAGACCCUUAGCUCGAAAGAGAAGUUUUUAAAGCAAGGAAAAUGCAAUAGAAAAAUAGCAAUAUCGCAAGAUACAAAGCAAAUGAAACAACAGAUAGUACCACACAUACAUUGAAGAACAAGAAACUAAGUGAAUGCUAACUAGUACUACCACUACUAAUAGGAGGGGAGUGAAUGAGGCCAACCCCUUGCCUCUUCCACACAUUGUAACACUUGACUACCUACUAACCGUCUACUCUAAUUCUCAACCUCCAUACCGUUCUAUCUAGGGUCAUCUCCUCAAUAAGCUAGAAUUGAGUCAUGUUAUGUCUAAUUAUCUCUCCCUAAUAACUUCUGCUCUACCACAAAGUAGGUAGGGUGAGCACAGAGGGUGGUGGGUGGCUCUGAUACCGUUGUUCGUUGAUACAAUCCAAGGAAAAUCUUAUCCCAAAAGAUAGCUAUUGAGGUCUGAGAACCCAAGGCUACAGAAACCUAAUGCCGAUGUGGAAAUCAAAUCUCGUACCCUGCGAUGGACAAUACCAAGUUCUCCCUUCUCGAGGCUUAAAGCUGAAACCUCUGACUAAAUACAGAGCCUACUAAGAGAAGUUCUUCAUUUCCAAGGCUCUAUGGUUAAGCGUGGAAGGAUCUCAUUUAUUCCACCUCACCUCUUGGUUAUUCUUGUUCUUAUUUGUUUUUCCCCUUAACUUAGCUGGGCUCAAUUGUUUGUAAUUUACAUUAGAUACUCUUUCUAAUUUGAAAAAAACUUGUUAUUGAAUAAAUUAUAAAUACUUGUAUGCUUAUAAAUUUUAUUUUUUUUAAAAAUAAAUAAUUUAAAUUACUUUUAAAUAUAUAAAGAUAUCAUUUUUUUAAAUUAAUUUAAAUUACAAAGUAUAUGAUAUAAAUUAGAAAGUCGUUUGGUUACAUUGAUGGGAUAUAUAGGAAUCUUUCAUGAGAUCCAUUAUCCCACCUUUUAUAUGAAAUUAACUAAUUUCACCAUUUUGUAAAAAAUUAUUUUCAGAACUAAUUAAUAUCCAUAUUCAAAUAUGACACUGAGGAGUCGUUAGUAGCUGGUUAAAAUUAUGCAGGUAUAUAGCUAUUCUAUCCUCUACACCGUAUAGGAUAAGACACCAAUUUCCUCAUAACUUAUACAUGUAUUAGUUUUUUAAUAAUCGUGGUGUCCGGGCCAGCUUGCGCAUAUUCUAUCCUCUACACCGUAUAGGAUAAGACACCAAUUUCCUUGUAACUUAUACAUGUAUUAGUUUUUUAAUAACUGUGGUGUCCGAGGCAGCUUGCGUACACCCCGACUAAUUCCACGGGAUACCUGCCACCUCCCACCAGCAACAGGUACCAGGUAACUCUGUCCACCAAGGCUAGAACAGAUGAAAAGAAAUCAGUUAGUGUUUGUCUCCGUUGGGAAUUAAACCUGUGACCUCAUGAUGACCUCAUGGUGCUCAAUCCAACUUCAUUGAACCACUAGGCCACACCCUUGGGUGCUAUAUAUGUAUUAGUUACGAGUUUCUAAAUUGCAACCAAACGUCAUAUCAGUGUUAAACAUGAAUGACUUAUUUCCUAACUAACUGCCAGACAUUGUAUAACUUAUACAAAAAUUAGUACAUGUAUAAAUUGCUUCUUUACUAGCUACCAAACAAGCUCUGAUUGUUUUUUAUUGUAGUUGUUAGUCAACUAUGAUGUAAAAUAGUCUGACCUUUUGAAUUUUCAGCUAUUGAUGUAGCCUCUUUGGAUGCUGAUCUAGAAUCCUUAUUUUUUUAAAUAUUAACAACCACCUAGCCCACCAACUUUGACCAUGGAAUAUAACUAAGUAGCCAGAUCAGUUAGACCAAAUAUUAAGUUUCCACACUGUCAUGCCACCACUCUACAUUGUUUUUUUUCCCUUCUUAUCACUUCUGUUUUCUUGAUUUCUCAUACAAAAUCAAUCAUCACUUCAAUGGAGAAAGUGAGUUUCAGAAUAGAAGUCCUCAGCAGACACCUAAGUCAAAAAACAUCAACUCCCAAGUAUACAUUCCAAUCAGUCCCAUGUCUUAGCUACAAGCCACCUGAGCUUUCAGAACCAUCUGCUGUUUUCAACAUAAAAGAGAUGAGAAAGCUCGUGGAUGGUCACAAUUUGAAGGAAAGGGAGUGGCUUUUUGGUCUGAUGUUACAAAGCAAUCUUUUUAACCCAAUAGAAAGGGGUGGCAAAGUGUUUGUUUCCCAUGAUUACAGUCAGUCUAAGGAACAACAAAGGGAAAUUACCAUGAGGAGAAUUGAGUACCUUCUUGAACAUGGGGUUUUCAAGAAAUGGUUUACUGGUAAAGGGCCUGAAAAUGAGUGGAGGAAGUUAGCUUUCUCGGAUUGUGUUGGCGUCUUUGAUUAUUCACUUAGCAUCAAGCUUGGAGUCCAUUUGACCCUAUGGUAUGUUCUUGUCCAUUGUGUGCCUAUUUUUAAUAUCCGGAAGUUAGUGGCCUAACUAAUUUGCAUACCUCUCCGGUAGGUCCCAACUAAGGGAGAAGUUAUCUAUUCUCGAGGCCUGAACUCGAGACGUAUGGUUGAGGGGGAGACAUUUGGUUAAGUGUGGCGUCCACUAAGAGAUAAGUUCUUCAUUCCCGAGAGUUGAACCCUUGGCCUAUGGUUAAGGGUUAGAAUUGUAGUUAAGACUUAAGAGGUUCUUCAUUUCUAAGACUUGGUAGAACCCGACUCUUGUGGUUAAGUGCAAAACUUUGGUUAAGUGUGAAGGGGGUCACCUCCAUCCCACCUCACCUCUUGAUGGUCCGAAUGAUAAAUUGCUAUAAUGGUUGUUGUUACUGUUUGUUUUUCACUCAAAUUAGUUGGGAUCAAAUAUAUGAAUCGGCUUUGUCUAUCUCAGAGAACUCAUAAUUCCACUCUUUUUACUAUGGUUGUCAUAAGACAUUAUUAUUGAAUAGGAAUAAGAAAGAGUAUAAGUAGACAUUAAAUUUUCCUGUACGGACAUUCUUGAUUGCUUGAUUGAUUGGUUAAAGAAAGCUUACUUGGCAACUUUAGACCACCCAUCUGUGGAGGGUAGGAUGUACGCAAACCCUACCCCUGCCUUUGUGGGGUAGAUAGUUUGUUUCCGGUAGACCCUUGGCUCAAAACAAAAGUUUUUUAAGCAAGGAAAAUGCAAUAGAAAAAUAGCAAAAUAGCAAGAUACAAAGCAAAUGAAACAACAGACGGUACCACACAUUGAAAAAUAAGAAACAAAGCAAAUGCUAACUAGUACUACCACUACUAAUAGGAGGGGUAUUAUAUAAUUUUUUGAAUUAAUUUAAAUUGAAAAGUAUUAUAUAAAUUAGAAAGUCGUUUGUUUACAUUGAUGGGAUGUAUAAGAAUAUUUCAUGAGAUCCAUUAUCCCACCUUUUGUAUGAAAUUGCUAAUUUCACCAUUUUGUACAAAAUUAUUUUUGGAGCUAAUCAACAUCUAUAUUCAAAUAUGUAUAAAUUAGAA